rnacentral:rRNA from 1 species
GACGAACGCUGGCGGCGUGCUUAACACAUGCAAGUCGAACGGAAAGGCCCUGCUUUUGUGGGGUGCUCGAGUGGCGAACGGGUGAGUAACACGUGAGUAACCUGCCCUUGACUUUGGGAUAACUUCAGGAAACUGGGGCUAAUACCGGAUAGGAGCUCCUGCUGCAUGGUGGGGGUUGGAAAGUUUCGGCGGUUGGGGAUGGACUCGCGGCUUAUCAGCUUGUUGGUGGGGUAGUGGCUUACCAAGGCUUUGACGGGUAGCCGGCCUGAGAGGGUGACCGGCCACAUGGGGACUGAGAUACGGCCCAGACUCCUACGGGAGGCAGCAGUGGGGAAAAUUGCACAAGGGGCGAAAGCCGGAUGCAGCAACGCCGCGUGCGGGAUGACGGCCUUCGGGUUGUAAACCGCUUUCGCCUGUGACGAAGCGUGAGGGGCGGGAUUGGUAAAGAAGCACCGGCUAACUACGUG